GGUUACAGCUCGGUGGUAGAGCACAUGCCUGGCAUGUGUGAGGCACUGGGUUCGAUUCCCAGGACCA
rnacentral:tRNA from 1 species